rnacentral:rRNA from 1 species
UACGUAGGGCGCAAGCGUUGUCCGGAAUUAUUGGGCGUAAAGAGCUCGUAGGCGGUUUGUCGCGUCUGCUGUGAAAACCCGAGGCUCAACCUCGGGCCUGCAGUGGGUACGGGCAGACUAGAGUGUGGUAAGGGAGACUGGAAUUCCUGGUGUAGCGGUGGAAUGCGCAGAUAUCAGGAGGAACACCAAUGGCGAAGGCAGGUCUCUGGGCCACAACUGACGCUGAGGAGCGAGAGCGUGGGGAGCGAACAGG